rnacentral:rRNA from 1 species
GUGCUUAACACAUGCAAGUCGAACGGGACCUUCGGGUCUAGUGGCGGACGGGUGAGUAAUACAUAGGUAAUCUGCCUUCAAGUGGGGGACAACCAGCCGAAAGGUUGGCUAAUACCGCAUAAUGUUAUGGAUUGAAAUAUUCAUAAAGAAAGAUUUAUCGCUUAAAGAGGAGCCUAUGGUUGAUUAGCUAGUUGGUGGGGUAAAGGCCUACCAAGGCGACGAUCAAUAGCUGGUCUGAGAGGACGAUCAGCCACACUGGGACUGAGACACGGCCCAGACUUCUACGGAAGGCAGCAGUGGGGAAUUUUCCGCAAUGGGCGCAAGCCUGACGGAGCGACGCCGCGUAUGGGAUGAAGUCUUUCGGGAUGUAAACCAUUGUCAGUGGGGACGAAACAAAUGACGGUACCCACAGAGGAAGCAUCGGCUAACUACGUGCCAGCAGCCGCGGUAAUACGUAGGAUGCAAGCGUUGUUCGGAAUUACUGGGCGUAAAGAGUACGUAGGCGGUAUGUUAAGUCUGAUAUUAAAGACUGGAGCUUAACUUCAGGACUGUAUCGGAAACUGGCAAACUAGAGGACAAUAGAGGAAGUCGGAAUUCUCAGUG